rnacentral:rRNA from 1 species
CUUGUGCCAGCCGCCGCGGUAAUACAGAGGGUGCAAGCGUUAAUCGGAAUUACUGGGCGUAAAGCGCGCGUAGGUGGUUCGUUAAGUUGGAUGUGAAUCCCCGGGCUCAACCUGGGAACUGCAUUCAAAACUGACGAGCUAGAGUAUGGUAGAGGGUGGUGGAAUUUCCUGUGUAGCGGUGAAAUGCGUAGAUAUAGGAAGGAACACCAGUGGCGAAGGCGACCACCUGGACUGAUACUGACACUGAGGUGCGAAAGCGUGGGGAGCAAACAGGAUUAGAUAC